CAAUGUAACAUUUCUGCAAUCUUCCUGCAAUCUUUCUGUGCUGUGUGGGUAUAGACACACGGUUUCUGUACAUUUUUCUGUACACUAUUAAAAGUUUAUAUCCUCUUGUAAUUUCGAAUUAUUCUUUAUUGUUGCAGGAAGCGGUAGCAAAGAUGGGAAGGGCAGUAAGGAUAACAACUCACCCUCCGGUCCUUAUGCCGGGUGCGCGGAUGGCGGCGACGCGCCCAAGAAGAAAGGUUUCUUCAAGGGCUUCUGGAAGCGAUCGCGCCACUACUCGCUGGAGAACCAAUAGCCCAGGUGCGCGAGGGUGACGAGCCACCACCAUCACCAGCGGUACAGGCAGACGCGGCAGCAACGGCAGCGGGGCAGCAUCGCGGCUACCACGACCCUCGCGAGUAACCCCUGCUGCUGUAUCGUCCAGUAACCCCGAUUUACGCGCGAUAUAUCAACCGCGAUCACCCUCUCUCAUCUCCUCGACCGAACAGUCCCUUCGCACUCGCGACUCGCUGCAUCACCCCUCGCGUUCCCUCUCGCACACGCGAUUUUCGCGCGCGUGUCCCACCCCCUCCCUCCUAGGUCUGCUCGUUUUAUAUUGGCACGGACGAUCCCUUGCAUCAUAUGUGAACGGAAGUAAUAUUCUGCGUAUGAUUUUACGGUCUUCGGAAUCUUUGAGUCUAUAUACAUGCGACAUACACAUCCACAAAUGCAUACACAUACAAGUACACGAAGGGAAAAACUGCGAAAGAUUAGUCUUUACAUUAUAUAUCUUGUACCUUUAAAGAAAAGAGAAAAAAAAUGAACUCCAGAUCUGUUGUAUGUA